rnacentral:tRNA from 1 species
GCUCGCAUAGCUCAGGUGGAUAGAGCGACGGUUUCCUAAACCGUAGGCCGCAGGUUCGAGCCCUGCUGCGGGCG